AAAUUUACCUGAAUAGGGUCGAUGGGCGAUCAGGAAGGCCCAUGACCUAGGUUGGUGGGCUCCAUUGCACUUUGGAAGUGCCCGUCUAAAUUUUGGCCCAGUGGCAGAGCCUACGUCAUAACAUUUUCUUAAUUUUUGAUGUUUUAGUUUCUUAUUCGUAGUUUACUAAA
rfam:Solanum lycopersicum cultivar Heinz 1706 chromosome 5, whole genome shotgun sequence.